UACGAGAGGUCCAAACGUUAUUCGGAAUCACUGGGCUUACAGAGUUCGUAGGCGGUUCUACAAGUGGGGUGUGAAAGCCCUCGGCUCAACCGAGGAACUGCGCUCCAAACUGUAGAACUAGAGGGAGAUAGAGGUGAGCGGAACUGAUGGUGGAGCGGUGAAAUGCGUUGAUAUCAUCAGGAACACCGGAGGCGAAGGCGGCUCACUGGGGUCUCUUCUGACGCUGAGGAACGAAAGCGUGGGGAGCAAACAGG
rnacentral:rRNA from 1 species